rnacentral:rRNA from 1 species
GACGAACGCUGGCGGCGUGCCUAAUACAUGCAAGUAGAACGCUGAAGAGAGGAGCUUGCUCUUCUUGGAUGAGUUGCGAACGGGUGAGUAACGCGUAGGUAACCUGCCUUGUAGCGGGGGAUAACUAUUGGAAACGAUAGCUAAUACCGCAUAACAAUGGAUGACACAUGUCAUUUAUUUGAAAGGGGCAAUUGCUCCACUACAAGAUGGACCUGCGUUGUAUUAGCUAGUAGGUGAGGUAACGGCUCACCUAGGCGACGAUACAUAGCCGACCUGAGAGGGUGAUCGGCCACACUGGGACUGAGACACGGCCCAGACUCCUACGGGAGGCAGCAGUAGGGAAUCUUCGGCAAUGGGGGCAACCCUGACCGAGCAACGCCGCGUGAGUGAAGAAGGUUUUCGGAUCGUAAAGCUCUGUUGUAAGUCAAGAACGAGUGUGAGAGUGGAAAGUUCACACUGUGACGGUAGCUUACCAGAAAGGGACGGCUAACUACGUGCCAGCAGCCGCGGUAAUACGUAGGUCCCGAGCGUUGUCCGGAUUUAUUGGGCGUAAAGCGAGCGCAGGCGGUUUGAUAAGUCUGAAGUUAAAGGCUGUGGCUCAACCAUAGUUCGCUUUGGAAACUGUCAAACUUGAGUGCAGAAGGGGAGAGUGGAAUUCCAUGUGUAGCGGUGAAAUGCGUAGAUAUAUGGAGGAACACCGGUGGCGAAAGCGGCUCUCUGGUCUGUAACUGACGCUGAGGCUCGAAAGCGUGGGGAGCGAACAGGAUUAGAUACCCUGGUAGUCCACGCCGUAAACGAUGAGUGCUAGGUGUUGGAUCCUUUCCGGGAUUCAGUGCCGCAGCUAACGCAUUAAGCACUCCGCCUGGGGAGUACGACCGCAAGGUUGAAACUCAAAGGAAUUGACGGGGGCCCGCACAAGCGGUGGAGCAUGUGGUUUAAUUCGAAGCAACGCGAAGAACCUUACCAGGUCUUGACAUCCCGAUGCUAUUCCUAGAGAUAGAAAGUUACUUCGGUACAUCGGUGACAGGUGGUGCAUGGUUGUCGUCAGCUCGUGUCGUGAGAUGUUGGGUUAAGUCCCGCAACGAGCGCAACCCCUAUUGUUAGUUGCCAUCAUUCAGUUGGGCACUCUAGCGAGACUGCCGGUAAUAAACCGGAGGAAGGUGGGGAUGACGUCAAAUCAUCAUGCCCCUUAUGACCUGGGCUACACACGUGCUACAAUGGUUGGUACAACGAGUUGCGAGUCGGUGACGGCAAGCUAAUCUCUUAAAGCCAAUCUCAGUUCGGAUUGUAGGCUGCAACUCGCCUACAUGAAGUCGGAAUCGCUAGUAAUCGCGGAUCAGCACGCCGCGGUGAAUACGUUCCCGGGCCU